CUCAGUGAUGGCUCUCUUGACCCCAAGUCUGUCUCUCUCUCCCCCUCAGUGAUGGCUCUCUUGACCCCAAGUCUGUCUCUCUCUCCCCCUCAGUGAUGGCUCUCUUGACCCCAAGUCUGUCUCUCUCUCAGCGAUGGCUCUCUUUGCCCAAAGUCUCUGUCUCUGUCUCUCUCUCUCUCUCUCCCUCAGCGAUGGCUCUCUACCCCAAGUAUCUCUGUCUUUCUCCCCCUCAGUGAUGGCUCUCUUUACCCCAAGUCUUUGAGUGAUGGCUCUCUUUACCCCAAGUCUCUCUCUCUCUCCCUCAGUGAUGGCUCUCUUUACCCCAAGUCUCUGUCUCUCUCUCCCAGUGAUGGCUCUCUUUACCCCAAGUCUGUCUGUCUCUCUCCCCCUCAGUGAUGGCUCUCUUUACCCCAAGUCUCUCUCUCUCUCCCCCUCAGUGAUGGCUCUC